CGACAACGAGGAAAGACAGCCGGUCCCCUCUGAACGGUAUAUAAUAUGAAACUUUAAGUCUCGUUCAGGUAGUGUGUAAGUCAAAAAUUCGAUGGGACUCGCAUCCGUCGUCCUCGCGCGGUCUUUCGUCCCGAUAUCCAGAAGCAGAAGUUUGAAAAACUCUAGCGACGGCACGGGUGUCCGACUCACGACAACGAGGAAAGACAGCCGGUCCCCUCUGAACGGUAUAUUAUAUGAAACUUUAAGUCUCGUUCAGGUAGUGUGUAAGUCAAAAAUUCGAUGGGACUCGCAUCCGUCGUCCUCGCGCGGUCUUUCGUCCCGAUAUCCAGAAGCAGAGUUUGAAAAACUCUAGCGACGGCACGGGUGUCCGACUCACGACAACGAGGAUAGACAGCCGGUCCCCUCUGAACGGUAUAUAAUAUGAAACUUUAAGUCUCGUUCAGGUAGUGUGUAAGUCAAAAAUUCGAUGGGACUCGCAUCCGUCGUCCUCGCGCGGUCUUUCGUCCCGAUAUCCAGAAGCAGAGUUUGAAAAACUCUAGCGACGGCACGGGUGUCCGACUCACGACAACGAGGAUAGACAGCCGGUCCCCUCUGAACGGUAUAUAAUAUGAAACUUUAAGUCUCGUUCAGGUAGUGUGUAAGUCAAAAAUUCGAUGGGACUCGCAUCCGUCGUCCUCGCGCGGUCUUUCGUCCCGAUAUCCAGAAGCAGAGUUUGAAAAACUCUAGCGACGGCACGGGUGUCCGACUCACGACAACGAGGAUAGACAGCCGGUCCCCUCUGAACGGUAUAUAAUAUACAUUAUGCGACGGUAGACGAUCAACUAGACGAAACUUUAGUCUCGUUCAGGUGGUGUAAAAAAAAUUCGAUGGGAUACGCACGCACGGCUGUCGUCGUCCUCGAGCGGUCUUUCGUCCCAAUAUCCAGAAGCAGAAGUUUGAAAAACUCU